rnacentral:lncRNA from 1 species
AAAAAUAUACAAAAGCUAAUAGCAUUUCCACAUAUUAUCUACAAACAGAUAUUGAAAACUUUAGAAUAUACAAUUUACAAUAUUGAAUUUGGAAGAUACAAUUAUACAACUUUGGAAUAUACAAUUUACAACACUUGAAGUUGUAAAAAACCUGACACUGAAAACCAUAUAACAUUGCCCAAAUAGAUUAGAGACCUAAAUAAAUAGGGAGAUAUAUCAUGUUUAUGGGUUGAAAGACCUAAUGUUGUUAGGAUGUUAAUUAUCUCCAAAUUAAUCUACAGUUAUAAUGCAAUUUCAAUCAAAAUCACAGCAGGAUUCUUUUGGGAUAGAAACUACUAAACUUUUAAUUUCUAAAAUUCAUAUGCAGGGGCUGGGGAUGUGGCUCAAGCGGUAGCGCGCUCGCCCGGCAUGCGUGCGGCCCGGGUUCGAUCCUCAGCACCACAUACCAACAAAGAUGUUGUGUCCGCCGAGAAUUGAAAAAUAAAUAUUAAAAAAAAAAUUCUUAAAAAAAAAUAAAAUAAAAUUCAUAUGCAAAUGCAAAGAACCCAGAAUGACUUUGAAAAAUAAGAGGGAAGCUGGAGAACUUAUACCAACUGACUUCAAACUGAUUACAAAGUUACAGUAACCAAGACACAUUGUAGCAUUCCUACACAGACAGAUAAAUAGACUGGAAAGUCCAGAAAUAGGUCACUUAUAUAUAGACAGCUGAUAUUUGACAAAGGUACAAAGGCAAUUCAGUGGAGAAAAGAUAAGUUUUCUUCAUAGAUGGUGCUGGAAUAAUUGUACACCCACAUGCAAAAAUAUUAACUCUAAUCAACACCUUAUAUCAUGUACAAAAAUAACUGAAUGGAUCGCAGACCUAAAUGUAAAGUUAUAAACUUUCAGAAUAAAACAUAAGAGAAAAUUUGUAGUAUCCCCAAACUGGAAACAACAGAAAUGUUCAUGGACAGAUGACUGGAUAAGCAAACUGUAGGUAUAAUUAUACAAGAGAAUAUUAUUACACAAUAAAAGGGAGAGGACUAUUGAACUGACACCUGCAAUAACAUGGCAGAUGAGAUAUGAUUCCAUUUGUUGUAAUAUUCUAGAAGAACAAUUAUAGCAACAGAAAGCUGUCUAAUGGGUUGAGCAGGAUGGGGAAGAAAGAGGGAGGGCACGAGGAAAUUUUCAAGAAGAUGGAUGUGUUCGUUAUCCAUAAUUGAUUAUGUGGAUGUUUUUAUGCAUGUACACGUGUGUCAGCAUGUCAAGCUACACACUUUAAAUUUAUGUGGCAUAUUGUAUAUCAAUUAUAACUCAGCCAAUCCGAUCCAUAGGAAAUACUCACCAGUACCAUAAAAAUGUAUUUGUAGGGAUGGUCAUUACAGAAAUAUUGAUAGGAGCAUAAAAAUUCAGAGGCAGAUUAAAACCCUUAAUAAUGGGAAGAUAUGAAGUAAAAUGUUCUUUGACACUGUAAAAGCAAGUAUCACACAUUUAUGUUACAUAAGAUUUGUGAUAAACUUACUGAUCCAGAGAGAGCUACACAGUUUGAAGAAAAGCAAUUGUAAGAUUUUGAAGUAUAAUCAUAAUUCAGCCACUACUUCCCACUCACACCCACCUGUAGAUAAAAUCCUUGAAGGAGAUGUAGUAAAUUAUCCAGUGGGUUGUAAUAGGCAGGAAUACUGUAGGUAUUUUUUGUAUUCUUAUUUAUUCUUUUGGCCCCUCCCCAUAUUCACCACAUUUUAUAACAGCUAUAAUCAACAAUUUU